rnacentral:rRNA from 1 species
AUACGGAGGACGCGAGCGUUAUCCGGAUUCAUUGGGUUUAAAGGGUGCGCAGGCGGCCGUGCAAGUCAGCGGUGAAAGCCCGGGGCUCAACCCCGGAAGUGCCGUUGAUACUGCGUGGCUGGAAUGCGGUCGAGGCGGGCGGGAAGCGGCGGGUAGCGGGGGAAUGCGUAGAUAUGCCACAGAACGCCGAUAGCGGAGGCAGCUCGCCAGGCCUGCAGUGACGCUCGGGCACGAAAGCGUGGGGAUCGAACAGGAUUAGAUACCCUGGUAGUCCGCGCCGUAAACGAUGGGCGCUCGUCGUCGGCGGCAGACAGUCGGCGGCCAAGCGAAAGCGAUAAGCGCCCCACCUGGGGAGUACGGUCGCAAGGCUGAAACUUAAAGGAAUUGACGGGG